AUUGAACGCUGGCGGAAUGCUUUACACAUGCAAGUCGAACGGCAGCACGGGGGCAACCCUGGUGGCGAGUGGCGAACGGGUGAGUAAUACAUCGGAACGUGCCCGGUCGUGGGGGAUAACGUAGCGAAAGUUACGCUAAUACCGCAUACGAUCUGAGGAUGAAAGCGGGGGACCUUCGGGCCUCGCGCGAUCGGAUCGGCCGAUGUCAGAUUAGGUAGUUGGUGGGGUAAAGGCCUACCAAGCCGACGAUCUGUAGCUGGUCUGAGAGGACGACCAGCCACACUGGGACUGAGACACGGCCCAGACUCCUACGGGAGGCAGCAGUGGGGAAUUUUGGACAAUGGGCGCAAGCCUGAUCCAGCCAUGCCGCGUGCAGGACGAAGGCCUUCGGGUUGUAAACUGCUUUUGUAUGGAACGAAAAGGCUCUGGCUAAUACCUGGGGCUCAUGACGGUACCGUAAGAAUAAGCACCGGCUAACUACGUG
rnacentral:rRNA from 1 species